GCCCAGUGACUAUUUUAAACGGCCGCGGUAUCCUAACCGUGCAAAGGUAGCAUAAUCACUUGUCCCCUAAAUAGGGACUAGUAUGAAUGGUCAAAUGAGGACUAAACUGUCUCUUACAUUUAACCAAUAAAACUGAUCUCUCAGUUAAAAAGCUGAGAUAUAAACAUAAGACGAGAAGACCCUGUGGAGCUUCAAACCAACCCAACCCUAAUGGUUCGGUUUUUAGUUGGGGCGACUUCGGAGUACAAAAAAACCUCCGACAAACCAUAUCAAGACCAACACGUCAACAUGCUUAUGACCCGGUACAAAAUAUCCGAUCAAUGAACCAAGUUACCCCAGGGAUAACAGCGCUAUCCCCUUCUAGAGUCCUUAUCGACAAGGGGGUUUACGACCUCGAUGUUGGAUCAGGACACCCAAAUAGUGCAGCCGCUAUUGAAGGUUCGUUUGUUCAACGAUUAAUAGUCCUACGUGAUCUGA
rnacentral:rRNA from 1 species